UUGGUUAAGUUAGAAAGGGCGCACGGUGGAUGCCUUGGCACUAGGAGCCGAAGAAGGACGGGACUAACACCGAUAUGCUUUGGGGAGCUGUACGUAAGCGUUGAUCCAGAGAUUUCCGAAUGGGGGAACCCACUAUCUUUAGUCGGAUAGUAUCCUUACGUGAAUACAUAGCGUGAGGAAGGCAGACCCAGGGAACUGAAACAUCUAAGUACCUGGAGGAAGAGAAAGAAAAAUCGAUUUCCUGAGUAGCGGCGAGCGAAACGGAAAGAGCCCAAACCAAGAAGCUUGCUUCUUGGGGUUGUAGGACACUCUAUACGGAGUUACAAAAGAAAGUUAUAAAUGAAGCGGUCUGGAAAGGCCCGCCAAAGACGGUAACAGCCCGGUAGUUGAAAUGGCUUUCCCUCCAGAGUGGAUCCUGAGUACGGCGGAACACGUGAAAUUCCGUCGGAAUCCGGGAGGACCAUCUCCCAAGGCUAAAUACUCCCUAGUGACCGAUAGUGAACCAGUACCGUGAGGGAAAGGUGAAAAGCACCCCGGAAGGGGAGUGAAACAGUUCCUGAAACCGUGUGCCUACAAGUAGUUAGAGCCCGUUAAUGGGUGAUAGCGUGCCUUUUGUAGAAUGAACCGGCGAGUUACGAUUUGUUGCAAGGUUAAGCGGAAAAAGCGGAGCCGUAGCGAAAGCGAGUCUGAAUAGGGCGCAUAAGUAACAGGUCGUAGACCCGAAACCAGGUGAUCUACCCAUGUCCAGGAUGAAGGUAAGGUAAUACUUACUGGAGGUCCGAACCCACGCACGUUGAAAAGUGCGGGGAUGAGGUGUGGGUAGCGGAGAAAUUCCAAUCGAACUUGGAGAUAGCUGGUUCUCUCCGAAAUAGCUUUAGGGCUAGCCUCGAGGUAAAGAGUCAUGGAGGUAGAGCACUGUUUGGACUAGGGGCCCUUCUCGGGUUACCGAAUUCAGAUAAACUCCGAAUGCCAUGUACUUAUACUCGGGAGUCAGACUGCGAGUGAUAAGAUCCGUAGUCGAAAGGGAAACAGCCCAGACCACCAGUUAAGGUCCCCAAAUAUAUGUUAAGUGGAAAAGGAUGUGGGGUUGCUUAGACAACCAGGAUGUUGGCUUAGAAGCAGCCACCAUUGAAAGAGUGCGUAAUAGCUCACUGGUCGAGUGACCCCGCGCCGAAAAUGUACCGGGGCUAAACAUAUUACCGAAACUGUGGAUGAACCUCUUUAGAGGUUCGUGGUAGGAGAGCGUUCUAAGGGCGGUGAAGUCAGACCGGAAGGACUGGUGGAGCGCUUAGAAGUGAGAAUGCCGGUAUGAGUAGCGAAAGAAGGGUGAGAAUCCCUUCCACCGAAUAUCUAAGGUUUCCUGAGGAAGGCUCGUCCGCUCAGGGUUAGUCGGGACCUAAGCCGAGGCCGAUAGGCGUAGGCGAUGGACAACAGGUAGAGAUUCCUGUACCAGUGCUAAUUGUUUAACCGAUGGGGUGACACAGAAGGAUAGGGAAUCGCACGAAUGGAAAUGUGCGUCCAAGCAGUGAGUGUGAGAAGUAGGCAAAUCCGCUUCUCGCGAAGCAUGAGCUGUGAUGGGGAAGGAAAUUAAGUACGGAAGUUCCUGAUUUCACGCUGUCAAGAAAAGCCUCUAGGAAGAGUAGUACUGCCCGUACCGCAAACCGACACAGGUAGAUGAGGAGAGAAUCCUAAGGUGAGCGAGAGAACUCUCGUUAAGGAACUCGGCAAAAUGACCCCGUAACUUCGGGAGAAGGGGUGCUCUAUUAGGGUGCAAGCCCGAGAGAGCCGCAGUGAAUAGGCCCAGGCGACUGUUUAGCAAAAACACAGGUCUCUGCAAAACCGUAAGGUGACGUAUAGGGGCUGACGCCUGCCCGGUGCUGGAAG
rnacentral:rRNA from 1 species